GACGAACGCUGGCGGCGUGCUUAACACAUGCAAGUCGAACGGUGAAGGGGUCUGCUUUUGUGGGCCCUGGAUGAGUGGCGAACGGGUGAGUAACACGUGAGUAACCUGCCCCCUUCUUCUGGAUAACCGCAUGAAAGUGUGGCUAAUACGGGAUAUUCUGGGUCUGUCGCAUGAUGGGUCUGGGAAAGAUUGCGCCUUUGGGUGUUUUUGGUGGGGGAUGGGCUCGCGGCCUAUCAGCUUGUUGGUGGGGUGAUGGCCUACCAAGGCGGUGACGGGUAGCCGGCCUGAGAGGGUGGACGGUCACACUGGGACUGAGACACGGCCCAGACUCCUACGGGAGGCAGCAGUGGGGAAUAUUGCACAAUGGGCGCAAGCCUGAUGCAGCGACGCCGCGUGAGGGAUGGAGGCCUUCGGGUUGUAAACCUCUUUCGCCAGUGAAGCAGGCCUGCUCCUUGUGGGUGGGUUGACGGUAGCUGGAUAAGAAGCGCCGGCUAACUACGU
rnacentral:rRNA from 1 species